rnacentral:rRNA from 1 species
AACGAACGCUGGCGGCAUGCCUAACACAUGCAAGUCGAGCGAGACCUUCGGGUCUAGUGGCGCACGGGUGCGUAACGCGUGGGAACCUGCCCUUAGGUUCGGAAUAACUCACCGAAAGGGGUGCUAAUACCGGAUAAUGUCUUCGGACCAAAGAUUUAUCGCCUUUGGAUGGGCCCGCGUUGGAUUAGCUAGUUGGUAGGGUAAAAGCCUACCAAGGCGACGAUCCAUAGCUGGUCUGAGAGGAUGAUCAGCCACACUGGGACUGAGACACGGCCCAGACUCCUACGGGAGGCAGCAGUGGGGAAUAUUGGACAAUGGGCGAAAGCCUGAUCCAGCAAUGCCGCGUGAGUGAUGAAGGCCUUAGGGUUGUAAAGCUCUUUUACCCGGGAUGAUAAUGACAGUACCGGGAGAAUAAGCUCCGGCUAACUCCGUG